rnacentral:rRNA from 1 species
GACGAACGCUGGCGGCGUGCUUAACACAUGCAAGUCGAACGGAAAGGCCCUGCUUUUGUGGGGUGCUCGAGUGGCGAACGGGUGAGUAACACGUGAGUAACCUGCCCUUGACUUUGGGAUAACUUCAGGAAACUGGGGCUAAUACCGGAUAGGAGCUCCUGCUGCAUGGUGGGGGUUGGAAAGCUUCGGCGGUUGGGGAUGGACUCGCGGCUUAUCAGCUUGUUGGUGGGGUAGUGGCUUACCAAGGCUUUGACGGGUAGCCGGCCUGAGAGGGUGACCGGCCACAUUGGGACGGAGAUACGGCCCAGACUCCUACGGGAGGCAGCAGGGGGGAAUAUUGCACAAUGGGCGGAAGCCUGAUGCAGCAACGCCGCGUGGGGGAUGACGGCCUUCGGGUUGUAAACCGCUUUCGCCUGUGACGAAGCGUGAGUGACGGUAAUGGGUAAAGAAGCACCGGCUAACUACG